GAGGGUAUAAUUCAGUGGUAGAGUGUGUGCCUAGCACGCACGAGGUCCUGGGUUCGAUCCCCAUUACCUCCA
rnacentral:tRNA from 1 species